rnacentral:rRNA from 1 species
UACAGAGGUCUCAAGCGUUGUUCGGAUUCAUUGGGCGUAAAGGGUGCGUAGGCGGCGCGGUAAGUCGGGUGUGAAAUCUCGGAGCUUAACUCCGAAACUGCAUUCGAUACUGCCGUGCUUUGAGGACUGGAGAGGAGACUGGAAUUUACGGUGUAGCGGUGAAAUGCGUAGAUAUCGUAAGGAAGACCAGUGGCGAAGGCGGGUCUCUGG